rnacentral:rRNA from 1 species
AACGAACGCUGGCGGCAGGCUUAACACAUGCAAGUCGAGCGCAUGUCUUCGGACAUGAGCGGCAGACGGGUGAGUAACGCGUGGGAACGUACCCUUCAGUUCGGGAUAACCCAGGGAAACUUGGGCUAAUACCGGAUACGUCCGUAAGGAGAAAGGUUUACUGCUGAAGGAUCGGCCCGCGUCGGAUUAGCUAGUUGGUGGGGUAAAGGCCCACCAAGGCGACGAUCCGUAGCUGGUCUGAGAGGAUGAUCAGCCACACUGGGACUGAGACACGGCCCAAACUCCUACGGGAGGCAGCAGUGGGGAAUAUUGGACAAUGGGCGCAAGCCUGAUCCAGCCAUGCCGCGUGAGUGAAGAAGGCCUUAGGGUUGUAAAGCUCUUUCAGCGGGACGAUAAUGACGGUACCCGCAGAAGAAGCCCCGGCUAACUUCGUGCCAGCAGCCGCCGCCGUAAC